GAGUUGGGUGGGGUAGAGAGUAGGGGGCGGUAGUCGGGGGUGGUGGGAGAAGGAGGAGGCGGCGAAUCACUUAUAAAUGGCGCCGAAGAAGGACCCGAAGCCUAAAUUCCAGGAGGGUGAGCGAGUACUGUGCUUUCAUGGGCCUCUUCUUUAUGAAGCAAAGUGUGUAAACGUUGCCAUUAAAGACAAACAAGUGAAAUACUUUAUACAUUACAGCGGUUGGAAUAAAAAUUGGGAUGAAUGGGUUCCAGAGAGCAGAGUACUCAAGUAUGUGGACACCAAUCUGCAGAAACAGCGAGAACUUCAAAAAGCCAAUCAGGAGCAGUAUGCAGAGGGCAAGAUGAGAGGGGCUACCCCAGGAAAGAAGACAUCUGGUCUGCAACAGAAAAAUGUUGAAGUGAAAACAAAGAAGAACAAGCAGAAAACACCUGGAAAUGGAGAUGGUGGCAGUACCAGUGAGACACCUCAACCUCCUCGGAAGAAAAGGGCUCGGGUAGAUCCUACUGUUGAAAAUGAAGAAACAUUCAUGAACAGAGUUGAAGUUAAAGUAAAGAUUCCUGAAGAGCUAAAACCUUGGCUUGUUGAUGACUGGGACUUGAUUACCAGGCAAAAACAGCUCUUUUAUCUUCCGGCUAAGAAGAAUGUGGAUUCCAUUCUGGAGGAUUAUGCAAAUUAUAAGAAAUCUCGUGGAAACACAGAUAAUAAGGAGUAUGCUGUUAAUGAAGUCGUGGCAGGGAUAAAAGAAUACUUCAAUGUAAUGCUGGGCACUCAGCUCCUGUACAAAUUUGAGAGACCGCAGUAUGCUGAAAUUCUUGCAGAUCACCCUGAUGCACCCAUGUCCCAAGUAUACAGAGCACCACAAGUAUACAGAGCACCACUGAGAUUAUUUGUACGAAUUGGAGCGAUGUUGGCCUAUACACCUUUGGAUGAGAAGAGCCUUGCUUUAUUACUGAACUUUCUUCAUGAUUUCCUAAAGUAUCUGGCAAAGAAUUCUGCCACCUUGUUUAGUGCCAGCGAUUACGAAGUGGCUCCUCCUGAGUACCAUCGGAAAGCUGUGUGAGAGAUGGUCUCACCCCAUAUAUGUUUGGAUCUCUGUAAACACAUUUUUGUUCUUAGUCUUUCUCUUGUACAAACAAUGUACUUUGAAGAUGUUAGUGUAUAACAGAAUUGAUGUUUGUUUUCUUUUUGAUUUUAAACAGAGAAAAUAAAAGGGGUUCUAG